GCUGGGUGAGUUUUUUCCU
rnacentral:snRNA from 1 species